UACGUAGGGUGCAAGCGUUGUCCGGAAUUAUUGGGCGUAAAGAGCUCGUAGGCGGUCUGUUGCGUCCGCUGUGAAAACCCGGGGCUUAACCCCUGGCUUGCAGUGGAUACGGACAGACUAGAGGUAGGUAGGGGAGAAUGGAAUUCCCGGUGUAGCGGUGAAAUGCGCAGAUAUCGGGAGGAACACCGGUGGCGAAGGCGGUUCUCUGGGCCUUACCUGACGCUGAGGAGCGAAAGCGUGGGGAGCAAACAGG
rnacentral:rRNA from 1 species